rnacentral:misc_RNA from 1 species
UGGUUCUGGCAUCGAUGAAGAACGCAGCAAAAUGCGAUAAGUAAUGUGAAUUGCAGAAUUUAGUGAAUCAUCGAAUCUUUGAACGCACAUUGCGCCCUUUGGUAUUCCAAGGGGCAUGCCUGUUUGAGCGUCAUUACAGCAGUCAGGGGAAGCAUCAGCUGUCAAACGCAGGGCUGCUUCACCAAGGUGUUGGCCAUAAAGACACGCCUGCUCCUAGCGAGCAGUGUGUGUGCUUUUGUGCCUAAGAUUUACCACAGGAGCCCUCAGGUCUCUGGCGUACCACAAUAUCCUUAUAUUACUUGCCAGCAUCACCUGCAGGAGCCUUCUGCGUUUUUCUAGCCAACGGCAGUGGCAAGUCCCAGCACUCAGCCCUGCCACUCUCUAGAUUACAAUUGACCUCAGAUCAGGUAGGAAUACCCGCUGA